rnacentral:rRNA from 1 species
GCUGGCGGCGCGCCUAACACAUGCAAGUCCAGCGAGAACCAGGGCUUCGGCCCUGGGGACAGCGGCGAACGGGUGAGUAACACGUGGAUAACCUGCCCUCGGCACCGGAAUAGCCCGGGGAAACCCGGAUUAAUGCCGGAUAGCCCCACAUCCCUGCGGGGAACGUGGGAAAAGGUAGCUUCGGCCUCUGGCCGAGGAUGGGUCCGCGGUGGAUUAGCUUGUUGGCGGGGUAACGGCCCACCAAGGCGACGAUCCAUAGCUGGUCUGAGAGGACGAUCAGCCACACUGGGACUGAGACACGGCCCAGACUCCUACGGGAGGCAGCAGUGGGGAAUCUUGCGCAAUGGGCGAAAGCCUGACGCAGCGACGCCGCGUGCGGGAAGAAGGCCUUCGGGUUGUAAACCGCUUCCAGGAGGGACGAAGCCACUCGGGUUAAUAGCCCAGAGGGUGACGGUACCUCCAGAAGAAGCCCCGGCUAACUACGUGCCAGCAGCCGCAGUAAUACGUAGGGGGCAAGCGUUGUCCGGAUUCAUUGGGCGUAAAGAGCGUGUAGGCGG